rfam:Strongyloides ratti strain ED321 Heterogonic genome assembly, scaffold: srae_scaffold0000010
UCUCUGGUAGUAUAGUGGUGAGUAUCCGCGCCUGUCACGUGCGAGACCGGGGUUCGAUUCCCCGCCAGAGAG